rnacentral:pre_miRNA from 1 species
AUAUAAAACACCCGGACAUCUUAUUAAAAUGCAGAUUCUGAGGCAGAGUCCAAGAUUCUGCAUUUCUCAUAAGCUCCCAGGUUGAUUCUGAGUGGCUCU